rnacentral:rRNA from 1 species
AUUGAACGCUGGCGGCAUGCCUUACACAUGCAAGUCGAACGGCAGCAUGGAAGAGCUUGCUCUUCUGAUGGCGAGUGGCGAACGGGUGAGUAAAGCAUCGGAACGUACCGUGUAGUGGGGGAUAACGUAGCGAAAGUUACGCUAAUACCGCAUACGCACUGAGGUGGAAAGCAGGGGAUCGCAAGACCUUGCGCUAUACGAGCGGCCGAUGUCAGAUUAGCUAGUUGGUAGGGUAAAGGCCUACCAAGGCGACGAUCUGUAGCGGGUCUGAGAGGAUGAUCCGCCACACUGGGACUGAGACACGGCCCAGACUCCUACGGGAGGCAGCAGUGGGGAAUUUUGGACAAUGGGCGAAAGCCUGAUCCAGCCAUGCCGCGUGAGUGAAG